rfam:Clostridium symbiosum WAL-14163 genomic scaffold supercont1.12, whole genome shotgun sequence.
UGACCACCCGCCGCAGACGGGUAGAGGCCAUACGGACAGCCGGGUCAAAUGCCGA